GUAGGGAAUCUUCCACAAUGGACGAAAGUCUGAUGGAGCAACGCCGCGUGAGUGAAGAAGGUUUUCGGAUCGUAAAACUCUGUUGUUAGAGAAGAACGUGUGUGAGAGUAACUGCUCAUGCAGUGACGGUAUCUAACCAGAAAGCCACGGCUAACUACGUGCCAGCAGCCGCGGUAAUACGUAGGUGGCAAGCGUUGUCCGGAUUUAUUGGGCGUAAAGGGAACGCAGGCGGUUUUUUAAGUCUGAUGUGAAAGCCUUCGGCUUAACCGAAGUCAUGCAUUGGAAACUGAAAGACUUGAGUGCAGAAGAGGAGAGUGGAACUCCAUGUGUAGCGGUGAAAUGCGUAGAUAUAUGGAAGAACACCAGUGGCGAAAGCGGCUCUCUGGUCUGUAACUGACGCUGAGGUUCGAAAGUGUGGGUAGCAAACAGGAUUAGAUACCCUAGUAGUCC
rnacentral:rRNA from 1 species